UCACUUCAGGGCUGACUUCCAGGACGAUGAUAGCCCUCACAAGUGCCAAGCUCAGCACAUGUGGCAUUGCAAGCUCGUUUUGGGGAAAGAAUCUAUUAAGCCAGACAUGUAUCAUGCCAGUUGUUUACCGCAUUAUCCGGGUUUGUUGGAAGAUAAUCACAAUGGUAUAGGUCAUCCCGGGUUCAUCCGAGUUCACAGGGUCAUCGACGAGAAAGUUGAAGCGCGGGUUAAGUACAAUCAAUUGCGCAAGAGGAUCCGGGAGUGUGAAAGUGAGCAUCGGAAAAUAUAAGAAGCAAUCAAAAGUUGAUUGAGGAAUAGAAAGAUAGGACUGUUAGUGCUAACAAGCGACUAUGGUAUUUGGAGCUGGGUCUAGCAGUUAGAAGGAAAGUUUAUCAAAAGGAUUGAAGACUGUCAAAAUGCUGAAGGGAAUGCAGGCGAUCAUUGGCCUAAGGUUAUUUGCUGCUAGGACUACACGAGCUGGUGAAGCUGUUCGAGGGAGACAGAGAUGUCGAAUCUGGGGAAGGUCCUUCUGGGACCAAAUAGUUAAGUGUUUUUUUUUCAUUUUACUUUAAUGAUG
rnacentral:lncRNA from 1 species